GUAGGCAGCAAGCGUUGUUCGGAGUUACUGGGCGUAAAGGGUGUGUAGGCGGUUAUUUAAGUUUGGUGUGAAAUCUCCCGGCUCAACCGGGAGGGUGCGCCGAAUACUGAAUGACUUGGAGUGCGGGAGAGGAAAGUGGAAUUCCUGGUGUAGCGGUGAAAUGCGUAGAUAUCAGGAGGAACACCGGUGGUGUAGACGGCUUUCUGGACCGUAACUGACGCUGAGACACGAAAGCGUGGGUAGCAAACAGGAUUAGAUACCCUGGUAGUCCACGCCCUAAACGAUGCAUAUUUGGUGUGGGCAGUUCAUUCUGUCCGUGCCGGAGCUAACGCGUUAAAUAUGCCGCCUGGGGAGUACAGUCGCAAGGCUG
rnacentral:rRNA from 1 species